rnacentral:rRNA from 3 species
UUCGCAAUGCCCGAAAGGGUGACGAAGCGACGCCGCGUGGGUGAGGAAGGCCUUCGGGUUGUAAAGCCCUGUCAGGAGUUAAGAAAUGUAAGUGCGCUAAUAUCGCAUUUACUUGACGAAGGCUCCAAAGGAAGCCACGGCUAACUCUGUGCCAGCAGCCGCGGUAAUACAGAGGUGGCAAGCGUUGUUCGGAAUUAUUGGGCGUAAAGAGCACGUAGGUGGGUUUGUAAGUCAGAUGUGAAAGCCUUCUGUUCAACGGAAGAAUUGCAUCUGAAACUGCAAAUCUUGAGUAUAGGAGGGGAGAAUGGAACUUCUGGUGGAGCGGUGAAAUGCGUAGAUAUCAGAAGGAACGCCGGCGGCGAAAGCGAUUCUCUGGUCUAUUACUGACACUCAGUGUGCGAAAGCUAGGGGAGCAAACGGGAUUAGAUACCCCGGUAGUCCUAGCUGUAAACGAUGGGCACUAAGUAGAGGGGUUUU